AUUGAACGCUGGCGGCAGGCCUAACACAUGCAAGUCGAGCGGAUGAAGGUAGCUUGCUACCUGAUUCAGCGGCGGACGGGUGAGUAAUGCCUAGGAAUCUGCCUGGUAGUGGGGGACAACGUUUCGAAAGGAACGCUAAUACCGCAUACGUCCUACGGGAGAAAGUGGGGGAUCUUCGGACCUCACGCUAACAGAUGAGCCUAGGUACGAUUAGCUAGUUGGUGAGGUAAAGGGUCAACAAGGCGACGAUAGUUAACUGUUCAGAGAGGAUGGUCAGUCACACUGGAACUGAGAGACGGUCCAGACUACUACGGGAGGCAGCGGUGGGGAAUAUUGGACAAUGGGCGAGAGCCUGAACCAGCCAUGCCGCGUGUGAGAAGAAGGUCUUCUGAUUGUAAAGCACUUUAAGUUGGGAGGAAGGGUUGUAAGCUAAUAGCUUGCAGCUUUGACGUUACCAACAGAAUAAGCACCGGCUAACUCUGUGCCAGCCGCCGCAGUAAAAC
rnacentral:rRNA from 1 species